rnacentral:rRNA from 1 species
UAGCUAGUUGGUGGGGUAAGGGCCUACCAAGGCGACGAUCGGUAGCUGGUCUGAGAGGAUGGCCAGCCACACUGGAACUGAGACACGGUCCAGACUCCUACGGGAGGCAGCAGUGGGGAAUAUUGGACAAUGGGGGCAACCCUGAUCCAGCAAUGCCGCGUGUGUGAAGAAGGCCUGAGGGUUGUAAAGCACUUUCAGUGGGGAGGAGGAUUGAUAGGUUAAGAGCUGAUUGAUUGGACGUUACCCACAGAAGAAGCACCGGCUAACUCCGUGCCAGCAGCCGCGGUAAUACGGAGGGUGCGAGCGUUAAUCGGAAUUACUGGGCGUAAGGGGUGCGUAGGUGGUUGAUUAAGUUAUCUGUGAAAUUCCUGGGCUUAACCUGGGACGGUCAGAUAAUACUGGUUGACUCGAGUAUGGGAGAGGGUAGUGGAAUUUCCGGUGUAGCGGUGAAAUGCGUAGAGAUCGGAAGGAACACCAGUGGCGAAGGCGGCUACCUGGCCUAAUACUGACACUGAGGCACGAAAGCGUGGGGAGCAAACAGGAUUAGAUACCCUGGUAGUCCACGCUGUAAACGAUGUCAACUAGCUGUUGGUUAUAUGAAAAUAAUUAGUGGCGC